UCCCCUGUGACCCAGGGGUGCGAAGAGCAAGCAGCGAGUGCCUGCACGGCGCCCGCAGACUUUCUCGUCAUCCCCGUGAGCAGUGCGGCACAACAGCUGCGUGCGCAGCCCCUGCCUCAUGUCAGUAUUAAGAGCCAUCUAGAGAGGGUUCAGAGCGUGGAGGGGAAAGUGUGUAGCUCCAUGCAAAUCCCACGCCAAGUUCCGUAAGGGACUUGAGCGCCCGUGGAUUUUGGUGUUCAGGGGGACCCCGGUGUCGGCCCCUCUCAGAUCGCAGGAUGACUGUGGUGGUAGCAGUUGUCAACCCUGAGGCCAUUUUGCAAUGGUAUAGACAGUCUUUUUUUUUUUUUUUUAAUGCUGGGUUUUCCAUUUGAAUUGAAACAGGCACGGAGCACACUGUGCUUCUCUGGAGCAGUGAGCUCUGGGUCUUUGGCUCCCGCCCCAGCCUGGUGCUCACACCUGCUGCUCCAGCUGUGCCACACUCAGCAUGGUUUGUGAGCCUGCACUGGCCAGUGUCCCUGCUACAGUGCUCCCUCCCUUCUGCCCUCUCCACUGACUCUCUGGAGCGUCUCCUCGUGGCACCCUACCCCCUGCUCCCCUCCAGCCUGGUGCCGCACCUGCUUCCUUAGCCCCCACCCUCCCACACAGAUCUAGCCUGUCUGGCACCUUCCUGGAGGGCAGCAGCUUGUUUCAGGCAGCUGUGGUUCCAGUGCUGGUAGAGGUGCAGCUGGCUGCAUUGGGCAGAACAGCACACAUGACUGUGCUGACCUCUGUCUGGUCCAAUGCAGGAGGAAGCUUGUGAGGUGCCCACCACAGAAAAUUGUUGAUCUCCUGUGGGGUCUCCGAGUGCCAGGAGGGUAGUGGACGUGGGCUUCCAGCAAGUGUCCUGCGUAGAGCGGCAUCGGCACCACUGGAAGGUGUUUCUGGUCCCUUGCUUGCCCUGGGGAGGACCAGGCCAGGACCUUGCUCCUCUCGGAACGCUGGCCUCUGUGCUCCCUGGGACCGUUCCUACUCCAGAGCCAGCUGGCCUGCUGCUUUGAUCCUAUCCCAGGUGCUGGGAGCUGUGGGGAGAAGGUUCUAGACCGCGCAGUGCCGCUGGGCUGCUGGUGUGGGGAGAAGGUUCUAGACCGCGCAGUGCCUCUGGGCUGCUGGUGUGGGGAGAAGGUUCUAGACCGCGCAGUGCCUCUGGGCUGCUGGUGUGGGGAGAAGGUUCUAGACCGCGCAGUGCCGCUGGGCUGCUGGUGUGUGCCGGAGAAGGAGGAGAAGGGUGUGUGUCCCAGGCUGCAGACCCCUCACCCCGUCGCUCCUGUGAGUUUUUCAGUAUUGGGAAAACAACACAAGUUGGAGAAACAGCAGAAUGCCAGGGUCCGUUUCUCCUUCUGGUCUGCCCACCCCUCUCAUGAGGAAGAUCGUGCUUUUGUGGGAGGAAUCGGGAGCCAAGGGGAAUAGGAACUCAGAUUCAUGGCAUCGAGUCCUCCUACCCCACACUGCACCGACUGUGCUGUUAGCCCCAUUUUACAAUGAGAAGUCGAGACUCGGGGUUAUGUGAUUUGCCCAAGGCCACACAUGCAGACCUGAGUUAAGAUCCAAGCCAAGUUCUGUGUGACGCCAUCUGUUCCCUGUACCCUGUUCAUCCUCUGAGGACCGGAGGUCACUACUCAUAACCCAAGUGUCCUAGAGCAUCCUGGGAAAGGGAUGUCUAUCCUUCCUGGUUUAGGCUGACUCCCCACUCAGGGGGCCCUGCCCAGGGCUGGUGCCUUCCCCAGGCCGAUUCAGUGCUAGGUUCUUCUCAGACCUGGACCUGGCUAACCUGUUUCCCACGCUGGCAUCGCGAGGCCUCAGCUAUCCGCUCUGUGAGGUACACAGCCUGGUCCUGACUUCUGCUGGUGGUGUGCAGAGGUUGAGGGUGUGUUUGGAAAACUUAACAAAGCAGCUUGUGGUCACGUCUCCUCGGCUGUGCCCUUCCUCUUGGGCUUCACUGCUGGUCUUGCUGCCGCCUGAGGCUAGGCCUGUGUGCAGACCCGAGGUGGACAGUUCCCUCCACCUCCACAGCCACCCACAGCACGCCAGCCGCGUGGCAAGUCUCAAGGCGGGUGUGGGAGGCAGUGGUGCCCAGUGCCUGUCCUGAUGCCGGGGUGGAGAUGAGGAUGGUCCAGCCAGAAGGUGGGGCACUGGCAGCCGGAGUGUCUGUGGUUUCUCACCUCAGCACUCCUGGCCAAAGCCUCUGGCCUGAGUUCCCUUCUGGGCUCGCCUUCUGUGCCCUCCACUGCUUCUUUGUUGGUACCCUGAGUGGGUAGCCCCUGCACUGGGGGGCUGGAAACGAGGCAGACACCUCUUCCUGUCGGCUCUGGAGGAAGGUGGAGAAGAGGCAGAAAGGAAAGGACCCAUGCAGUCGGGAUCCUGGGCCUGAAGGGACAUGCGCAUCCCCCUCCCUGCGCUCCCCUGCCACAGGGCUAUCCAGGCCCCGCCCACAGACCUGGUCUGACCCGAGACCUUGGCCCUGUUGGGUGCACAUGCGGGGAGCACCCUGACCAGGCCAGGCCUUCAUGGACUAAGUAACCUCAGUGCAGGAGGAUUAGCAGAGGAGAGAGCAGCAGCUGACUCCCUGCGCUGCCCCCAGGAGUCUCGCCAGAGCUCAGCCUGGGGGUUUGUUUCCCGACGGUGGGGUGGGCCAGGCGAUGGAGACUGCCUGCUCCUGGCCGGAGUGGGCUUGAGGAUAACUCCACGGUAAAUGAGAGGAGCUGGUGGGGUUCAUGGACCUCACGCCGGCCAUCAGCUCACACUGACCACUAGAUAAGGAGGGAUCCAGUCUCCUGGCCCUGUGAGAAGAAGGGGCCGUGAGCCUGCAGUGCCAGGUGGACGGCCCGAGGCACUGCAAGGCCUCCACCGGCAAGCACGAGCCGGCUUCCUCCUCUGCCCUCCUCGGGCCGUGGGCCCAGCUCUUGAACCAGCUUUCCAGCCUUUGGUCUUGGCCUCCGUCCCCAGAACCUGUGGGCAGUGGCUUUUGGCCGCCCCCUCUCAGCUGGCCUGUGACCUGGUGUGUGUUUUCUUUCCUUCAUCAGUCUGCUCCUGGCCCACGCCGAGCCGGAGAUCGGCUCCUGAGUAGCGCCUCUCCUCUGAGCUGCAAGGGAGGGGCAGCUGUGGGAAGCAUUGGCAGGGGCUUAACCUGGAGCUCAGUAUGAACAGGGAGGGGCCGUGGGCCCAGCUUGGGGGAUCCCGGCCUCAGGAGCAGCCAGGCCUCCCUGGGGUCGGCAGCCCCCCGCCACACUAAGAGGACUAAUUCCCAGGAACCAGGGAGGCUGGAACCCCUCCUAAAACCUUACACUGAUCAGAGACGUCGCUUCCCCCAGUGUAACUCGUGGCCUCCAGGCAGCGUCCUGGGUGGGGUGCACAUGGGAUGUCACGUCACUCUUCCCUCAGGGACUUGGCAGCCUGCUGGUGUUGCAGGAAGGAGAGAACAGAGGGAUUCUGGGAACAGGUCCUUAGAGGACAGGAAUCCAGGGGCAGUUGCACCAGGUCACACUCCAGGGUCAUCUUUCAUGGUCUCUCAUGGGAGAGUUACGGUCAGGGAUGGGUGGACUCCACUGGACUGAAAAAACAGAUUCUGCCCUGGGCUUGGACCACGCAGGAUUUGUGCGGCGGCGACUGUGGUGCCAGUCAUCGGGGGCAGCUUGGUCUCAGCACCAAUCCCAGUGUCCCAGAGCUGGGGAACUGGAAGGCCCAGCUUUCCCGUUGGAAUCUGGGCAAGUGGAGCGCUAGGAUCAGCAGGAUGUGCGGUUCUGAGGCAGCAGCGGGGGAAAGCGCGCGGCUCGCCGCUCAGACCGCGGGGAGGGCACAUCUCCCGUUUGCUCAGAAGAGAACCUUCCCUCCGCUCAGGGGAGGAGAAAUUGAUAAGGCUCCCAAUGGCCUCUGGUUCUUUAUCUUUAAUGGCAAACAGGCCCUACUCGCCGCCUGGCCGAGGGAUAACAGUUCAAGGAGGAGGAGACACUGCGUGUGUGUGUGUAUGUGCGCGUGUGCUUGUGUGCACACUUGCAGGUGGGGCUGGUGGGGAUGUGGACACUGUGCUUCCGUUAGAUUUCCUGCUGCUUUGUCCCAUGGUCGGUGAGGAAGCUGCCACUUCUCCCUAGUGCCCCCGGGAGGGAUUCAGUGUCUAAGACUUUUCUCUGGCGCUAGGGGACACCUGUCUUCAGGAGGGAGAGGGGCCUUCUGGGGACAGAGCCCAGCUGCUGCUCCGCUCCCUUUGCUGGCCCUUUGCACGUGCUGGGGGUUUCGUGGUCACGAUGUUUCUAGCGGGCUGUCUUGUCUCCUCUCCACAUAGUAGGUUUCUUGAGGUCAGAAGCCAUGUCUUACAUAAUCCUCUGUGCCUUAGGUGUGUUAUUGGCGAUAGUGCUCUGAUCGUCUUCCUCUGGACACGUGGCAUGGCUUACAGUCGAGGAAGCUGAGGGACAUUCUGAAGUGUCCCCUCUUUGUCAGCUCCCUGUGCCGGGGAGUGGGCACGUCUAUUCUACAGAUAGACUAACAGAUCCAUAGGGUAGAGUGAAUUUCCCAAGGGCAUCUAACUGGGUGGUGGCAGAGCCAGCAUUUGAACCUGAGUCCUUGUAUCCAAAACUACUGCCUCUCCUCGUGUUGCCAGCCCCACCCCCUGCCGCUUCGCAGCCCCUGUCUCCUGCCAAGCUCGGCCUCUCACUUGGUCAUGGUUUUCCCUAUUCAUGUCCGCCUUUUCCUCUCAUCAGAAUUUCUGUCUCCUGAGGGCGGGGUCCACGGCUUUUCCCUUAAUCCUUCCAAAUCUCCAGCUCCUGACGGUUUUCUUGAAGUCAUUCCCUCAAGUGAGGCCCUGCCCGUGAGUCACCUGAGCAGGGCCAGAGAGUGGUGCAGGGGAGAACCGUGAGGGUCUCACGAUGCUGGGACCGAGGGCAGGAGGUGGGCCCUGACCUUGUCUGUGGAGGAAGAGCCUGCCCGUGCUGCCCACUGGGCAGGGCCUGUUAGCAGCCAGAGAGAGGAUUAACGCCGGGCGCUGGGAUCAUCUGGUUCCACGUGAUGAUGGCUCUAAGUCGCAGCCCAAUAGAACUGGCAGGUGCAGUGACACUGGCCUCACAGGCGUUGGGAAAUGAGCGGGGUGUUGCCCGGUCCGGGGCCUGGCACUCACAGCUAUUAUGAAUUAUUAUUGUUGUAAUGACUGCUAUCAGAUGAGCCCUCUUCCUUCCAGUGGAGAAGGGGGCAGGGUGCUGAGGAGGUGCCCUUUCCCCUUCCGGGUUGGGGCGGGCCGGACAGGGAAGGUGGACUGACCCCGGCCUGGGGCUCCCUCGGACCCCAGAACCAUUUCCCCUGUGCUCUGAAGUUCUCAGCCGCGACACCCCUUCUGGUGCUUUCAGCCAUCCCAUCUGUCACCCUUGAGGAGAAAUUGAUACAUUCAGAUAAACACUGCCUGCUGAUGGUGGCCAGAGGAGGCCUGCGUGGUUGUGUUGCUGGCUCCUGGCAGGUGCUUCUCUCCUGUUCCCAGGGCGUGCGGCUCAGGAAGGGGGAGUGGCACUCACUUGUCAGUUCUGCAGCGUUCCAGAGCCCCCCGGGGACUCAGUUGGUACCAUGUCAGGCCCCGCUCCCAUGGGAUGGGCCAUGUGACUGUGGUUUCGCAGCUGGCCCGAGAGGGGAGCGCCGUGGUCAGAGCAGGGAGGGACACAGGUGUGACACUGGUGCAGCUGGAGGAAGAGGUCCCCUCACUCGGUGAUCACAGGGUCGGGAGGGCCAGGGCGAGAGGGAUGGCCGAGGAGGGGCAUGGAGGUUGGCAGGCAGGGGCGAGGGAUGGUGCGAGGAGGAACUGCCAGAGCGAGACUGAGCUGGACAGGCUGCCCGCAGUGGCGGUGACCGAGGCACCUCUUGGCAUCAUGGGCAGGUGGGGGGCUGCGUGGUGUUGACCUUUGAGCUGUGAGCAGGCUGUUUGUCCCAUCCUUGUCCCUUGUCCUGCUGUCCACGGCGUCUGACGAGCCCAUGAGGUAACAGGCACAUGAAGCAGCGGCUGUCGCUCAGUGGCGAGCUCAUGCAAAUGAGAUCACUUUGCCGUUGGGCUGUUAUGACAAAAUCAGCAAGAGUGGAUGCCUAGAACUCUGUCUCAGGGCGGCCUCUGGCCUGGUUGCUGUGCUUGAUUCCAAAGCAUAGGAGGAAAGAUUAGAGCAAGGAUCCACAGAGGUGUGUUCUUCUGGGGGUCAAGAAUAGGGAGAGAAAAUAAAUCUUUAAAUUAAAAAAAAAAAUAGGGAGAGAGGCCGGUGCUGCAGCUCACUUGGUUAGUCCUCUGCCUGCGGCGCCGGCACCUCGGGUUCUAGUCCCAGUUGGGGCCCCGGAUUCUGUCCCAGUUGUUCCUCUUCCAGUCCAGCUCUCUGUUGUGGCCCGGGAGUGCAGUGGAGGAUGGCCCAAGUGCUUGGGCCCUGCACCCCAUGGGAGACCAGGAGGAAGCACCUGGCUCCUGGCUUCGGAUCGGCACAGUGUGCCAGCCUCAGCGUGCCAGCUGUGGCGGCCAUUUAGGGGGUGAACCAACGGAAAAGGAAGACCUUUCUCUCUGUCUCUCUCUGUCUAACUCUGCCUGUCAAAAAAAAAAAAAAAAUAGGGAGAGAGCAGCAGCCACCAUCGUCCAGGUCAGGUCAGGUCCCAUCGGUGUUGCCGCUUGCUGUGUUCUUCCAGGAACUGAAGCACUUCGCCACUGAAGUCUCUCACUGUCUCUUUGCUGUCUCUUUGGCUCAUGGAUUGGCCACUCUGGUAGUCAGUUCGCUCAGGAAUCCAAGUUUCCCCCUGGGCUGGGUUCCACGGGGCCUUCUUGUGUGGGUGGUUUGGGUGUGGGUCGAGCAGAGCAGCAGUGGGCGCUGGCCAGUGGAGGUUGAGGGCUGCACAUUGUUUCUGAGACUCUAGGUCAGCCAGCCAGGACAAGUCAUGGCACCCUGCAAGGGAAGUCCAGGCACCCAGGGCUUAGGCGCAGGUGAAAGCCGUUACUACCACUAGGUGCUCCCUCCUGAGACUGGAGAGGGUUGAAGCCGCGGAGGCCAGAACAGCCUGUGGAGCCAAGAUGCAGACCCAGGCCGCGCAGCGGCACCAAAGCUGGCACAGAGGAGGGAAGAUGCCCGAUGUUGUCUCCUGCCCAGGGCUCCCGUGGCAGAACCUGUGAGAAGUCGGCCAGCAGGGGAGCCCGGGUGCCUCCUUCCAAGGGAUCAGCUUCCCUGGGCACAGAGCAGGGCAGAGCCAGGGGACGCAGGGCGGUGUGUAGGAGCCCUCCCCUGGCAGGGUGGAAGCAUCCGUUCACAGAGGGCACGUGGGCAAUGACAGCUCUGCCGUCCGUGGUCGGAGCAGCUGCUGUCUCCAGAUGCAAACCUGUCACCGUUCGCACCAUCGUCGUCAGGGAGUUGGGGACAAGUAUGCACUAAAAGGCAUCCAGCGCGGAGAGGGGGAAGCAAACGUAGCUUUAUUUGCAGCUGACAUGAUCUUGUAUAGAAAAGCCCAGGGAAGCCACUAACAAUCUAUUAGAACUAAUAACCGAGCUCGCGAGAAUACAGAGCCGAGAUCAAUGUGCAGGAAUCACUUGUGCAGUCGCUCCUGGUGUCCACGAGGAAUUGGUUCAGGGAUCCCCCGUGGAUGCUCCAGUCCCCGAUAGAGAAUGGCACAGUAUUUACUUAGAACCCACACACCCUCCCUCUCAUCUCUAGAGUCUUUGUAAUACCCGAGGUAGUGUGAAUGCUGUGUGUAAACAGCGGUGCUGUUUAAGGAACAAUGACAAGAAAAAGGGGUGUGUGUUCAGUACAGAUGCAGCUUCCGCGGGCCCAGCUGCACGUCAGCACUGAGGCAGUGUUGUUCUCUUUCUGGAAAUGUGUGAGCCAUGUUGGUUGAUUCCACAGAGGCCCCUUGGAGGGCCCACUGUCUUUUUUUUUUUUUUUUUUUUUUUAAAGAUUCAUCUGUUUAUUUGAAAGGCAGAGAGAGAGAGAGAGAGAGAGGGAGAGAGGUCUUCCAUCUGCUGGUUCACUCCCCGAAUGGCCACAACGGCUAGAGCUUGGCUGAUCCAAAUCCAGAAGCCUGGAGCUUCUUCUGGGUCUCCCACGUAGGUGCAGGUGGCCCAGAGAGCUUGGCCAUCUUCUACUGCUUUCCCAGGCCACAGCAGAGAGCUGGAUUGGAAGUGGGACUUGAACCAGCGCCCAUAUGGGAUGCUGGCACUGUAGGCGAUGGCUUUACCCUCUAUGCCAGAGUUUCGGCCUCAUGAUGGGAUUUUAAUUAGCACUGAGACAUACAUGCUACACUGUGGAAGAACCUUGAAAUCAGUGUGCUAAGUCAAAGAAGCCAGUCCCCAAAACCCACGUGACUUAUGAUUCUAUUUAGAGGAGAUGUCCAGAAUAGGCAAGUGCGUGACGGAUAGAUUGGUGGGUUGGGGCUGCAGCAGCUGUGGGGCUGCAGGGUGAUGGCCGCGGGAAGGCGAAGUCUCCUAAAACUGUAGGCGUGUAUUUGGAAUGCCUGGGUGCAAGUCCAGCUUCCCGUGGACGCGCACCUUGGAAGGUUCUUGGGCCCCACCUGCCCACGUGGGAGGCCCAGAUGCAGCUCUAGGCACCUGGUUUCAGCCUGGCCCAGCUCUGGCAGUUUCAGGCCUUUGGGGAGUGAACCAGCGAGUGGAAGAUCUCUGUCUCUGUCUCUCUCUGCCUUUCAGAUAAAUAAAUUUUUGAAAGAAAAGUUGAUGGUGGUGAUGGAUAUGUAUUAUCUGUGACUGCACUAAACAUGGAACUGUAUUUUAAGUGUGUGAACUAUGAAGUGUAUCUCAGGAAAGCUGUUAACACAGACCUGACCCUGCAGGCUGAAAGACACUGACUGAAUAAGGAAACUUCGCUGUGUUUGUUAUAUUUAUCUGCUAGUUAUUCUGUGACCACCUGCCCUGGCCUGUGCCGGCUGGGUGGGGGCGCUGCCUGCCUCUCAGCACACUCUACCCCAUCUCUGCUAGACAAUUUUAAUUCCAAUUCAGUUUUGUUUGGAUUUUGUUCAAGAUCUUAGCAUUCAUGCUGUGAGCCAGGCACUCUUGUGAGAAAACAGAGCGUGGGGGUGGACGGGCCUGCUCAUCCUUGUGGGGCCUUCCGAGUGUCCCUUUCUUAUUAACACAAUGAGUGCCGAUGACGUCCCAAGGGCUUGUGGCAAGAAUUAAGUGAGCCAGAAGUUGGGUUCCAGCGCUCCUGGAGCGAGUUACCUGUACCCAGUUUACGGAACAGUGACGAGCUGGUCGUCCAGGCGGCCUCCCUUGUCCUGGGCAGUGCGCUCCGAGAUCCUCAGGGGAUGCCCCUGUCCUGUUUUCCAGACGUAUGUACCUAUGACAAAGUGUAAUUUUUUUUUUCUUUUUUUGACAGGCAGAGUGGACAGUGAGAGAGAGACAGAGAGAAAGGUCUUCCUUUGCCGUUGGUUCACCCUCCAAUGACCGCUGCGGCCGGCGCGCUGCGGCCGGCGCACCGCGCUGAUCCGAUGGCAGGAGCCAGGAGCCAGGUGCUUUUCCUGGUCUCCCAUGGGGUGCAGGGCCCAAGCACUUGGCCAUCCUCCACUGCACUCCCUGGCCACAGCAGAGAGCUGGCCUGGAAGAGGGGCAACCGGGACAGAAUCCGGCGCCCCGACCGGGACUAGAACCCGGUGUGCCGGCGCCGCUAGGCGGAGGAUUAGCCUAGUGAGCCGCGGCGCUGGCCGACAAAGUGUAAUUUUUUAAAAAAGAUAUAUUAAUUUGGAAGAAUGGCAUGGAGAGAUGAAAAGAGAGAGAUCUUCUGCUAGUUCACUCCCCAGUUGACUGCAGUGGACCCAGGUUGGUCCAAGCCAAGGCCAGGAGCCAGGAACUUGAACUCCAUCUGGUCUCCCGUGUGGGUGGCAGGGCCCGAGCACUUGUGCCAUCUGCUGCUGCUUUCUCAGGUGCAUUAGCAGCAAGCUGGAUCAGAAGUGGAGCAGCUGGGACUUGAACUGGUGCUCCAAUAUGGUAUGCUAGUAUCAACAAGCGAUGGCCUGACACACUGUGCCACAAUGCCAGCUCCAAUAAAGUUUAAUUUAUAAACCAGGCACGCUAAGAGAUUAACGGCAGCAGUAGUAGAACAGUAGCACAGUACAGUGCAGUAAAAGUUACGUGCGUGUGGUCUCUCAGAGAGCUCCUUGCACUGUACUUGCCCUUCCUCUCGUGUCGCUGGGAGGUGACACUGCCUGCCUGCAGAGGGCAAGAAAUGAGGUUCCAACGGAAAAGGAAGACCUUUCUCUCUGUCUCUCUCUGUCUAACUCUGCCUGCCCUGACUUCUGCAGUUCGAGCCGUGACAGAAAACUGGCACGCGUUUCCUUUUCUUUCACAGUUUCACAGGGAGAAGACUCUUUCUUAGCAUAGGUCUUAGCGACCAGCAUGAGUGUUGUUCUUUCCUUGUGAAGUCACUUAAAGGAAGCACUUUAUGCUGUUCUUCGGCACACCCAAGCGUGUAGCCCCGCCACUCGCGUGUCAUGGAACAGAAGCACCGCAGUAGCGUGGCAGAGUCUGAUACCUGGGCAUUCCUCAGUGACAGGCGGGUAGUGUGUCCGGCCGGGUGGCCCGUGCCUCAGGCAGGGCAGCGUGGGACCACUCAGAGCGGCACGCCCUUUAAAACUGAGGAACUGUUUAUUCCUGGGACUUUUCACUUAAUAUUUUUGGACCGCAGUUGACUGUGGGUAACUGAAGCUCCCGCGCCCGGGCCUGGGGGAAGCCUCGCAGGUUGCUGGGGCCGCGGUGGUGGGAAACCAGGGGCGGCUUCCUGAAAGUGGAGGAUACUUUCCACAACUGGUAUGUACUCAUUCCUUUGAGCAGAUACUCACGUAUGUGGGACAAAAGGGCGAACGCUGGGCGAUAACUUUACCCGCCUGUCUUCCCCAGAGGCGGCCGUUGUCCGGCCUCUGAUCUCACUGGAGAGAUGCCCGUGGGCGUCAGUCUAGCGGUCAGCGGGCGGAUUUCAGCAUCUUCCGCGUAGUGGUCUUUGGGGUCAGGUUCACCUUCUGGCCGUUAGCACUCGGGGGCUCAUCAUAAGAACCAUGGCUUCGUUUCCUUCCGCUCCCCUGGACUGCAGGGUGCCCAGCCAGGCGGUCGGCACCCAGACAGCUGCUGCCCUGGUGGAGCUCUCGGGGGCCCCCUUUGCCCCUCUGCUGGGGGGGCUCCUGGGGAACACAGCCCAGCAGCUCCCCGGGACAGUGCAUCACCCCGCUCUACCUGGGGCUCACCUUCAUCUCCGAUCCAUAGUUUAGCUGGAGAGGCUGAAGGAUUGCUUUGAGCUUUUCUUCUCAGGUUGCUGAGAAACCCCAAUGCUGUCUCACUCCUGGUUCCUCGCAUCCUCUCUCUCCGCCCCAUUCUGAGAGCUCCUGGGAGCGGAAGCUACGGCAGGCCCUGGUGUGGCCGGGCCCUUCUGCUCUGUGGCUCUCGCUGGGUUCUUGCCUGGGGCUUCCUUCUAAGAGUUUGCUUCUUCCCUUGGUUUCACUGCUUUCUCUUUCUGAAACUCAGGUUAUUUGGCUCCUGAGUUUCUCCUCCUUCUUGUUUCUCUUCCAUUUCUUUGUCUUUUUGCUUCAGUUUCUAGGUUUCUUUUAUCUGACCUUGCACCCCUUCUAUUAGUUUUUUUUUCCAAUCAUAUUUUUAAUUUCCCAGGCUUUGUUUGCUGCCUGAAUGGGUCUUUGUAAGGGUGUGCACAUGCGCCCUGUUGCCUCAGCGAUGGAGUCGUGCGGAUUCCUCUGCAGGUGUCGAUGCUGUGUUUGUUUCUUUAAGUUCGCUUCUCUCAAGGCCGCUUUCCUCCCAGUUGUUUUUUCUGCUGCUGUCCCUCUCUCCUUUGAAUGAAUCUGCCCAGUGAUCUUUGCCUGCGCCUGGUGGCCAGUAUGGGACUCAGAAGUGGCCCGGGGGACCCAGAGUUUCACAGUCAGCGAUGUGGGUGGGCUGUGUGCUGGGGGAGCUCGGCAUCGGCACACAGAGGUCCUCUCUCCUGGGAGCUGCAUGGGAGGAGGGGCAGGAUGUGCAGCCACUCAACCCGCCUGCUGUCACCAGCGUCCCCAGGCCCUCGCCCCGGUGUUGAGACUUGUCUUUCCCCUCUGCAGGGAGUCGGCCUGCACAGGGGUGGUCUCCAGAUGACGAGAUGGGCAUGGAGGGGCCCAGUGUCCAGGGUUCCCCAGCAGGGGCCAGCAGGAAGUGGAGGCCCAUGCUUUGGGGUUCAUUCCAGCUUUCACAAUUGUAUCAGUGUCCUCCCUCUCCCAUUUGCUCUGUCCUUGGGUUUAUAGAGCUUUAUAAAGAUCUCUACUGAAGUAGGAUUUCAGGAGGGAGAAAAGUGCUCACACAGGGGAGAGUGGGGUUGGCCCAGGUCGGGGAGUGCCCAAGGCCCAGAAGUCCCGGUCAAGGGUGUUGCUGACCCAUUAGGGUUUCCAGAUUAUCACAGGAUUCUCAGUUAAAUUUAAAAUCAAAUAAGCAACAAAUAGUCCUGUAGCGUAACUGUGCCCCAAAUAUUAUAUGGAGUUUACUUUCAAAUGUAAGUUUAAGUUGCUGUUCAUCUGAAAUUCAGGUUUAACUGAGUCGUUUUCAUUUCGAGUUGCCAACCCCAGCAGCCCUUGCCCUUAGCUCUUUCUCCCUGGGGAAGCUCAGGGUCGGGGAGGGGGAGGAAGCAGCGGCUUUGCUGCCCCCAUUUUCCUGGAAGGUCGUGAUGGCUGCACAUCUCUGAGUCCUGGUGCAUCGCAAGCUACAACUUUUUCUUUGUAAAGAUUUAUUUCAGUUAUUUGAAAGGCAGAGUUAUAUAUAGAGAGAGGUUGGUCUUCUGUCUGCUGCUUCACUCCCCAGAUGGCUGCAAUAGCCGGGGUUGAACCAGGCUGAAGUCAGGAGCCAGGAGCUUGACUUCUUCUGGGUCUCCCACGUGGGUGCAGGGUCCCAAGCCCUUGGGCCAUCUGCCACUGCUUUCCCAGGCACAUUAGCAGGGAGCUGGAUUGGAAGUGGAGCAGCCAGGAUUUGAACCAGUGCACAUAUAGGAUGCCAGUGUUGCUGGCAGUGGCUUUUACCCACUACACCAUAUCUUUGGCCCCCAAACUAAACUUAGUAUCUCACCCCCCGUGUGUCUCACUUUUGCUUUUUCUUCUAAAGAAAGAAUAUUAAAGCAGCAUUCUGUAGGUAGAUGCCAAAAUGCGGACUGAAGAUUGCUUUGCUCCCCUUCUCCAAGGUAAGGGAAUCGCAGACGUCCCAGAGACUCGUGUACAGUAAGUCGGUCCACAGGCUCUUCCAGAAGGACCUCUGCACCUGGACCAGCCGGUUCCGUGGGUGCCCCUGCCUUUCCUAAUCUGUGUUUCGCUGAUUGGACUGGCACACAUUUCCCGUAGGGUGUAGUCUGAGCCACCUCUGGCACAGCCUGAACACAGCAGCCCUGGUCCUUGAGCAGCUGCAGCCAGCAAGCAGUGAGGGUGUGGGUGUGGACUGGGGGCCUUGCCGGCUGCAGCGGGCUCUCCUCAGGCUGUGGCUUUGCUCUUUGGUUGUGCCCCUUGGAGAGCGACGUCUGUGUGUCUCAGUGCAGAUGAGUGAGGGAGAAGCAGCUUCAGUUACUUCAGGCCUUGCUGAGUCAGAGCAUCAGGUGACGCCUGGGUCCCUGGCAGCGCUGCCUCGCAGCCACCUGUGGCCAGACAGCAGGAUAGUUUGCAGUUGAAACUGUCCCAGACAGUCUGGGCGCUGCGGCCUCAGAGAAGCAGAGCUGCUCGUCUAAGCUCAAGGCGUCUUUCUCCUGAGUCUCAGGGCCUCCCCUGGGCUUGUUCCAUCUCUUAUUCUUCCCUCACUGCUUCAUCCUCUCCUUCCCUCCUCGCUCCUCCCCUCCCUCUUCCUAUGACUUGCUAAACGUACCUAAUGCCGAGUGGAUUCUUGUCUCAAAUAUGUAAAGAAAGACAAACAGCCCAGCAGGAAAAUGGGAAAAUUAUAUGAACAGGCAAUUUGCAAAAGAGAAAACAUAAAAAUAAGUCCACCACCAUGAGAAGAUAUCCAACUUCACUGAUACAGGGAACUGAAAAUUAAAAGAAGAUACCCAUUUAUACCCAUAAGGUUGAUAAGAGCAAAGCCACAGUAAAAGAGUUUGUAAAGCUAUGGGGUAAUAGGAGUUCUCAGGCACUCAUGGUGACUGUAGCGAUUAUUGGGUUCUUUGGCUCACUUGCAAACAGCAAUUGACAAGAGGCCAGCGUGCAACCCAGACAAGGUUUAUUGGAGUUUAUGCUUGGACACAAAGCACGGAGGGCGGUGGUUCCGCGUGGAGGAGAGGGGUCCCCCCUUGGCAUGUGGAGCUCGACCUGGAGUUUGGGCUCGCCGCUCGCAGCACACAGCACUUCGGUUUGCACCGGCCUGGUGUUCUGUGCAGUGUGCUGCCUCUUUCGCACAGACCUGCUGUCACUGGCGCUGUUGCUCACCCCCACUGCCCAGGAAGGUCACGUGUUGGUCACAUCAGGCUAUUCUGGGCAUCCGUGCAGGCCGCGGGGGCACCUAACAGGGCAGUAGGGCAUCUUUCGGGGUCAGAUCUGAACACUCCUUGUUAUUGGUUUAUUUGGAGCUGGAGAUGGAUAUGUGUCAGGUCAGGAAGGGCUUGAUGGAGUCCUGUGUCUGUCCUGUUUCACAGCUACUUUAGAGAGGUAUUUGGCAAUAUUGACAUUAAAACAUAGCUGUUGUUUGAUCCAGCAGCUACAGUUCUAGGCAUAUGUUUUACAGGGAUUCUUGUACGCUUUGUGUAUGGGGUCAGGGUAUUUUGUUUUUAAGUUUUUUUUUUUUUUACUUUUUUUAAUUAUAAAAUCUAUUUUUCACUUUAUUUGAAAGGCAGAGAGAAUUUGUCAUCUGGCCCACUCCCCAAAUGCCCACAACAGCCAGGCCAGUGCAGGAGCCACAGACUUAAUCCUGGUCUCCCAUGUGAGUGGCAGGGACCCGACUGAGCCAUCACCGGCUGCCUCCCAGGGCCUGCGUUAGCAAGAAGUUGGAGUCAGAGGCGGAGCUGGGCUUGACCCGGGCACUCUGAUACCAGACGUGGGCGUCCCAAGGGUCAUCUUACCACGGCACCUGUUUGACUUUUUAUUAGGGCUCUUUUCAAAUAGACACAGAGUUGGAGUAAAUGGUCUAGCGAAUUCCAUGGACCUGUCACCCGGUGCAGUUCUUCCCAGCUACAGAACGGUAUCUGCUUGGGCAGCUCUCACACAGUCCCACAGAGCCUUAUUUCUCACAGCUCUGGAGGCUGGAAGUCCAGGACUGAGUGGUGAGGGUCACUUCCACAUUCACAGAGAUCUGUGGAAUCUCUUUGGUAGACACUCAUCCCGGGGCCGGCGCUGUGGUGCAGUGGGUUAAAGCCCCAGCCUGCAGUGCCGGCAUCCCUUAUGGACGCUGGUUUGAGUCCUGGCUGCUCAACUUCCGAUACAGCUCUCUGCUGUGGCCUGAGAAAGCAGUAGAAGAUGGCCCAAGUGCUUGGGCCCCUGUACCCCCCCUGCGCCCACGUGGAAGACCCAGAAGAGGCUCCUGGCUCCAGAUCAGCUCAGCUCUGGCCGUUGCGGUCAUUUGGGGAGUGAGUCGGCAGAAUGGAAGGCCUCUCUACCUUUCUCUGUAACUGUCUUUCAAAAAAAAAAAAAAAAAAAAUCCUACUCAGGAGGGCUCUGACCCACGACCUGAUCACCUUCCAAAAGGCUCCACCCCCGACACCAUCCCCUUGGGAGUGGAGUCAGGAUUUCAGCCACAGGAAUUUGAGAGGGCUGUAAAUAUUUGGUCAGUAGUGGUCCUCAUUUGGGCAUGGGUAGACUGUGGUAUGUGUGUAUGAUAUACUACACGGCCAUUAAAAUGAAUGGACUAGAUCUACUUGUAUCAAUGUGGAUAGAUUUAAAGUAUUGUACUGGAUAAAAAAAUGAAUUCAAAUGAUUAUACAGGGGCAGCUGCUUAGUCUAGCAGUAAAGAUAUGGUUAAGGUGGCUGUGUCCCACACGGAGCACCUGGGUUCGAUUCCCGGCUCUGGCUCCUGUCCGGCUCUCUGCUGAUGCAGGGUCUGGGAGGCAGUGGUGAUGGCUCCUGUGUUUGGGUUCCUUCCACCCACAUGGGAGGCCUGGAUUGAACGCCCAGCUCCAGCCGUCGCUGACCGCUUGGGACAUUUGGGGAGUGAAUAAGUAAGUAGAUGGGAGCUGUCUCUGUCUCACAGAUAGAUAGGAGAAUAGAUAAAAUAGGUUAGAUGAGAGAUAAACGUUUAUCAUUUAUGCAAAAAAUCAAAACAGAGGCACAUGGCUAUGAGUAACACCAGCUUCUAGCCAGGUAAACCGAACACCAGGAAGCGUCUCCAGCAACUCUGGGCUGUGGUCAGCCCUGGGCAGAAGAGGGAAAGGACCAGGAAUGGGAUUAGGAAGAACCACAGGGGAAUAUGGAGUGUGGCUUCCCUUUCUAAGUUAACUUUUAUUUUAUCAAAAUAGUACAUGGGGACACUCUGAAGGUCCGAUUGUGCAGUCCCCGUCCCAGCCACCCUCCCCGUGACUCGUCCAGCGACAGCGCCUUGCCGUCCUGGCUGCUCAGCCUCCUGUCCCGGUAGGGUUCCACUCUGCCUGCCGAGGAGGAGUCGGCAGCCCACGCUUUCCCUCCUGGUCCUCCCAGCGUGGGAAUGUAAAACAUUUUGGUUUCCGUACGUUUCCGGAUUUUGCGUUGCUAAGAUCAAGGCCAUAUCCGCAUCCAGAGAUGCAGCAGGUGUUUCUGUACUUUCCGGAAGUGAUGCUGGCUCACUCCCCAUCCCCAGGCAGACUGCACCCUGCCCUCUCCUCUCCGUUUUGAGCAGCACCAGGUCCCCCACCUUCCGUCUGCUAAACACUUGCCUCCCGUCUGGGAGCUCUCCUGGCCUGCUGCACCGCGUGCGGCCGGGGACCCCUGCCAUCCCCGAGAGUGCCCUGUGCUGAGUGCAGGGCCUGGGCCCCGUGGCCCCCUCCUUCUUGGUUCAUGUCUAGUGUCGGUCCCGGAACUUCCCAGGCAAAUGGACUAAUGAGGGCUAGACUUCCAGGCCAAGCACGCGUGUGAAUACGUGCACUGUACUCACGCUUGGUGGAGAAUCCGGGCUCCCCAGUUCUCCGCCACCUGAAGCCCUUAGCGGGGGCUCACACUGCUGUGGAGCACUGCUGUAGGCUGCCUGCUGUCCUCAGGAACGCGGGCGGCUGCAAGAUGGCGCCAGUCCCCAGUGCGCGACCCCGGAAGGGAUAGGGGCCGUCGCAGCGGUGACUGAGGGCCUUGGCGUGGGAGGUCAUCCUGGGUUCUGCAGGUGGGCCCUGAAUGUCACCACGGCUGUCCUUUGAGGGGAAGGCAGAGACUGGAGGGGUGCGGCCACAAGCCAGGGAGUCCCAGCAGCCACUGCAGCUGCAAGAGGCGAGCAGCAGAUGCUCCCCAGGCCCCCGGAGGGACGAGCAGCGGAUGCUCCCCAGGCCCCCGGAGGGAGCUUGGCCGCGGCAACCUUGAUCGUGGCCCAGUGGGCUGCUGUUGAAUUUCUGACCUCCCAAACGGAGAGAGAUGACACGUUUCUGUUGUUUGAUGUCACCCCGUCGCUGGUCACUUGUUACCGUAGCAACAGGAAACAAAUCCAGGAGACUCACGCCCUGCCCCCGCUUCGGCAUCGUGUUGGACCCCGGAGCUCUCGCAUCGUGCAGUCGUGUGUGUCCAUCCCAGGAGCCUUCCUGGGCAAACCGCUCCCCUCUGGCCUUCUGUUCUCUUUCUGGGGCCCAGGGCAGCGAGGUGCUGCACUCGCUGGCCUGCGUCUCUCACUUUCUCAUCUCCCCUCCUGUUUCCCAGUGUUGGUCUUUCCGGGUGACGUCCUGGCUGCCUUAUAAUUCUAUUGAUCGUGUUUGGAAGUUGCUGCUCCCUAUUUUUAUUUUCCUAGAGCUCUUUCCUGUCGUCUUUUUAGAAUAGCCGCCGCCCUGACUUCUGGCUGCGCUGUGUGCGUUCCUCCGCGGAGGUGGAGGUUCAUUGCAGGGUCCCUAAGGGCCGGCCCUCUGGCCUGCUUUGCUCCUCGGUCUCCUUUCUACAAAAUGUCCAAUUUGGGUGGGUUUCCUGGCAGUUCCCUCAAAUAUCUGGUGACGGGCAGCCGAGCGUCACUCUGACGAAGGGCACAAGGCCAGGGACACGUCUGAGCCGAGCACAGCUGUGGGCCGAGGUCUGGCUGCUGGAGGAGACUCGGGCCCUGGGCUGGCUUCUGAGAGGGGCCCGCUGGUCUGCUGCCUGGCAGGAGCCUGGUAACAGCUCCGUGGGGCCAAGGGGUCGCUACUCCGUUCUGCUCACUCACCCCCUUCCCCACCCCAUUCUGUGUACAGUCUGGGCCUGACUCAUCCCAGCAGUGUGCCCUCGGGCAGCAGCGUGUAGACCCUGGAGGUUCCCUGGCCUCCGCGAGCUGGGAAGGCACCAGCAGCUGCAGGGCCAUGUGUGCUGCGGCCACCGCCGCUCCUCUGGGGAUGGAGGCAGGUGCCCUGACUGCGUGGGAGGGGUGAGGCGCCUGGGCACUGACUCUCACAGAUUUGAAGCAGGCUUCUGUCUGCUGCCAACCUCACUCCACCAGGGGGGGCUGGGACACCUGGCCUGCAGGGUCCUGGGCCUGUGGAGUGUGCAGCUCCGAAGGCUUGCUUGGCGGGGCAUCCCCUCGGUCAUGACUGCCCGUCCAGGGUUUGCUUGGCUGCCCUCAUCCGUGCCGCCGCCUUUCCCAUUCCCAGUGUUCCUCACCGAUGUUUCCGCGGGGUUCUGGAAGGGACAGUUGUGUGCGCGCUGCGUCUUGUCGGACCUGUGUGGUUUUCACUUAGGAAACACCUCCCUCAGCCCAGUGCCCUUGGUCUCACCUGCCUUGCUCUUCUUCCCGAAACUUUCAGGAACUUUCUGUCCAAACUUUGAACUUUGGGGACUUUGAAUGGGAGACUUCCUCACUUCUCAGCUCCCUCUGUUCUCAUCCACCCCCCCCCCCCAACAGCUACAGCUAAGGCCCCCAGGGAGUGGAGCCCUCCUGCUGGGCUGCUCAGCCACCGGUCAGCUGUUUUCCUUGGAGCCUCCGGCUGUCAUGGCAACACUCCUGUGGCUCUGGCUGGGCCCUGGCCGUCCCCUCUGUGUCAUCUGCUCCAGUCUCCUCCGUGGGCGUUUUCACAGCCUCCUGAUUUUGCUUCUGAGCGGGCUGGGGGACUCCCAGAUCUGUCUCUGGCUGGAGAGCGCCCACUGAACUCCAGCUCCCCAGGGCCAGCACCUACCUCUGCCUCCGUGGUCUUUAAUUGCUCGCGGUGGCGCCACUGUUUACCUUGAAGCAGGAACCCAGGUCGUCUUCCCGCUGCCUCUUGGCCUGGUAGCUGUAGAUGCGGUCAGUUUCCCAUCCUGUUUCCUGACCCGGUCACCCUCUGCAUCCCUGCCACCCUGCCUGGCUCCACUUCUCAUCUCCCACUUGCAUUAGGGCCUCUACCUCUACUUCUACCUCCUGGCCACAGUUGACGCUGAUUUGUUCUGGUCUGCCACGGCUGCCGUUAGUGUCACGGAGAGGGGGAGGUCUUUGGGAGGAUCGGGGUUGUUAGGGUGGAGCCCCCGUGAGUGAGCCCUGUGGCUUGAGAAGGUGGCACACAGACUCCAACAGGUGCUCUGUGUCGCCUCAGGGGCCAGUGGGGGCAGCGUGAGGGGAAACACGGGCCUCUCCUUGAGUGUGGCUUGUCUCAGGAGCCGCACGGCCGUGGUGAAAAGCCACUCACCGCUCAGAUCUGGCUUCCUCGUAGGCUUCCCGCCCGAGUGGCCCUCGCCGUGGGAGCUCUGUCGCCCUGCCCGGCUUUCCCAGCACAGCCCCGGACACAGGAUCCAGCCGUGCUCCUCACCGGGCAGGUGCGCUCUGUCAGACCCCGGCUGUCUGCCGGGCUCCUCUUGGUGCCUUCACCUCCUGCCAGCCUCCCCCACGCCUGGACCCUUCCCUCCUCCCCUCCCUCCCCGCACAUCCCUUCUUAGCCCUUUAAGACCCUCCCCAGGGGCCAGCGCUGUGGCAUAGCAAGUAAAGCCGCAGCCUGCAGUGCCGGCAUCCCAUAUGAGCGCCGGUUCGAGUCCCGGCUGCCCCAAUUCUGAUCCAGCUCUCUGCUAUGGCCUGGGAAAGCAGUGGAAGAUGGCCCAAGUCCGUGGGCCCCUGGACCCACGUGGCAGACCUGGAAGAAGCUCCUGGCUCUUGGCUUCAGAUCAGCACAGCUCCAGCAGCUGUGGCUUGGGGAGUGAACCAGCAGAGGGAAGACCUCUCUCUGCUUCUGCCUCUGCCUCUCUGUAACACUGCUUUUCAAAUAAAGAAAUCUUUAAAAAAAAAAGAGAGAGAGAAAAGCCCCUCCCCAGAUGGCCUUCCUGCGAGAGCCCCCUUGUCACAGUCCUGCCCUCCUCCCUGCCACACUGACCAAGGGCUCCUGGUCAGCAGUGGCGGCUGCCUGCACCAGGGGGCAGUGUUGGCCCUGAAAUUGUCACUGCCUUCCAAAGAGGCUGGGACCAAGCAGCAGCCUCCGGCCCCAGGGGCCCUGUCCACUCUUGCCAGGCUCUCAUCUCCUUUCUCUAUAGUCUGCUUCGUCUCUUACCCAUAGAGACCUGUGUGGCGCCAGCGGCUCAGGCCGCCUCCCCCUGGCUGCUGACUUUGAAUGGGGGUGGCAGAGGGUGGGAUGGAGCUGUGGAGCCACGCAGGGCUGCUGAUGGCUGCAGUUCCGCGCAGCGCUGAGCGCGUCAGGGCCCCAGGCCCAGCGACUGGCAGGCUGGAGCCCCAGCAGGCGCCUCCACGCUGCCUCCCUCCUGUCGGCUGCAUUGUCUCUCACCCAGAAAUCUCAGCCGCGGUCUGUCCUCUCUGGGCGCUUUGAUAUGGGCUGUUGCAGCCUGACAGCCAGGCAAAGUCCUGCUUUCAUCUGCCCCGGUUGGCCGCCGGCCCUGGGGCCCACCGGACACGUUUAGGACAGCGUGCGGCAGCCCAUCCAUCAUGUCCAGCACCACGUCCUCUGCCAGGAACUCUUUCUGGUUCUGACCUGCUUUUGCUGGAGGCUGCUGUGGCUGG